AUACCCACUCCAGCAGCAUAUAUAUUAAAUUAGAAUGAUACAAAGAAGAUUAACAUGACAUUUGCACAAGGAGCACAUGAAAAUUCAUGAGGUGAUCUAUGCUAUU